rnacentral:rRNA from 1 species
AUUGAACGCUGGCGGCAGGCUUAACACAUGCAAGUCGAACGGUAGCAGGAGGAAGCUUGCUUUCUUGCUGACGAGCGGCGGACGGGUGAGUAAUGCUUGGGAAUCUGGCUUAUGGAGGGGGAUAACUACGGGAAACUGUAGCUAAUACCGCGUAGAAUCGGAAGAUGAAAGUGCGGGACCGCAAGGCCGCAUGCCAUGAGAUGAGCCCAAGUGGGAUUAGGUAGUUGGUGGGGUAAAGGCCUACCAAGCCUGCGAUCUCUAGCUGGUCUGAGAGGAUGGCCAGCCACACUGGAACUGAGACACGGUCCAGACUCCUACGGGAGGCAGCAGUGGGGAAUAUUGCGCAAUGGGGGAAACCCUGACGCAGCCAUGCCGCGUGAAUGAAGAAGGCCUUCGGGUUGUAAAGUUCUUUCGGUAUUGAGGAAGGUUGAUGUGUUAAUAGUACAUCAAAUUGACGUUAAAUACAGAAGAAGCACCGGCUAACUCCGUGCCAGCAGCCGCGGUAAUACGGAGGGUGCGAGCGUUAAUCGGAAUAACUGGGCGUAAAGGGCACGCAGGCGGUUAUUUAAGUGAGGUGUGAAAGCCCCGGGCUUAACCUGGGAAUUGCAUUUCAGACUGGGUAACUAGAGUACUUUAGGGAGGGGUAGAAUUCCACGUGUAGCGGUGAAAUGCGUAGAGAUGUGGAGGAAUACCGAAGGCGAAGGCAGCCCCUUGGGAAUGUACUGACGCUCAUGUGCGAAAGCGUGGGGAGCAAACAGG